UUUUUUUUUUUUUACCUCUACUAAAUCUAAAAAUUAAAAGGGCCACCCACUUCUCAAGUUGCCCUCCAGCCGAGAGAAUUCCCCUUUCCCCUUUUCUGAAGCUGCCCUCCAGCCGCUAAAGCUGCCCUCCAGCCAAGAGAGUUCCUCUUCCUAAAAAGACCUAUCUUCCUCUGCCACUCUCAAUCCUCGCAGAUUUUGUAUCCUGUGCGCGGGCUGGACUGGUAGGAAAAUAUCGGGAAAUUUUCCGAUAAAUCGGUAUUUCGCCGAUAUUUCGCCGAUAUAUCGGAGAUUUUGCCGAUUUUUUGUCGAUUUUUCCGUCGAUCGAUAAUCGGUGACGAUUAUCGUUUCGGCGCCGUCCGAUAUCCGAUAUUUCUUCGAAAUAUAGGCGACAUUUUCCGAUUUUUCAAUCCCUGCUCCGGUCCAGCCGGGAACAGAAUACAUAUCUUCAGAAAGAUCUGCGCCUCUCAUUUCAAUGUUGACCGCUUUUACUGAAGGAGAACCCUAACGCCGCCUUGCAUAGCAGCAGCUCCAGAACCCUAACGCCGCCUUGCAUAGCAGCAGCUCUGCUUCCAAAA